GAAAUACGCCAUCUUUUCUUUUUCUGCCUUCACCAGUCCUGUGUAGAUGCUACGCUCGAGCUCGAGCUGGAUUUACUUAGCAAACAAACCAUAAAAGAGGUAUUCUGACACUGAAGUUAACUGCAGAAGUUACGGAAGUAGACAAGAAUCAUCAGACGUCUUUGAACCACGUAGAAAUCGAUAUUCCGGUGCUGCUGAAUUUGUGGCUUCGUACCUUCAGUGUUUCUUCCAGCGGCCGGUGAUGUAUGUUUGAGGCCUUUUAAAGGUUCCUAUCUCCCCCCGUCUCCUCGGCUCUCAGGCAGGAAAACAGCCAUUUGGGGUCCUGCCGACACCAAUUUCCAGCAGCAGAGCGACGCAUGCAGCCUCCCUGCUCCGCCUAAUGCAGCUCUCCACACAAUCUGGCAUCAUCUCUCCAUCAUCUGCAGAUCCCACCUGCCCUCCACCUCCUCCCUCCUCCGGUGUUCCAUCCCUCCGUCCGUCUAUCUGUCCGUCUAUCUGCGGAAGAACAUCGGAGCCGUUUGAAACCCAGCAUGUACAAUGAGCUAGCAUUAGCGUCCACAUUGACUCAGCGUUCUGCGGCUUCGUACCUUGGAUGAAACAAAUCACCUCCAAGUGUUGGCGGACCUUCCGG
ensembl:lncRNA